rnacentral:rRNA from 1 species
GCCUGCCCAGUGAUACACCAUUCAACGGCCGCGGUAUCCUAACCGUGCAAAGGUAGCACAAUCACUUGUUCUUUAAAUAAGGACUAGUAUGAACGGCACCAUGAGGACCGCCUUGUCUCUCAUAGUAAGUCCAUGAAACUGACCCUCCAGUACAAAAGCUGGAAUACCCCCACAAGACGAGAAGACCCUGUGGAGCUUUAAACUGCACACCACACAUACUGGUACGAGCAGUUUUUAGUUGGGGCGACUUUGGAGCAAAACAAAACCUCCAAAAUUUUACCUACAACUCAGACGGACACGUCUGGGCCAACCAACCCACCGACCCAAUACAAUUGAUCAAUGAACCAAGUUACCCCAGGGAUAACAGCGCAAUCUUCUUCUAGAGUCCCUAUCGACAAGAAGGUUUACGACCUCGAUGUUGGAUCCGGAUACCCCAAUAGUGCAGCCGCUAUUAACGGUUCGUUUGUUCAACGAUUAAUAAUCCCACGUGAUCUGAGUUCAGACCGG